CGGUAAGAAGCCCUUACGUGGCUGUUUUCUAUUGGACUCUCCUUAAUGUCUCUCUCUCCUUCGCCGGCGUUUGUGCGAAAUCAGUUUAUCUUCCUCUUCCAUUCUCGAUCACUCUGUCUCCUCUCUCAAUCUCUUCUCAUCCUUCUGGGUUAGGCAAAAUCUCCGUCUGAGGCUAUGAUGAAGAUCAGAAGAGAAGAAGGCUUCAAGAGAAAGCAAAGAUUCAGGGAAGGAUGAAACUCAGACAAUUGCUUGCCGUCGACCUCAGCGACUAUUGGUACAGAGUUUGCUCAGCUGAUGAGUUCUUCCAGUUCACCAAACUCAAUCCUAAAGCCGCAUCUAUGGUUAAUGAGGUCAGGUUCCGUUGAUGGGUUCCUCAAGAACACUAGAUUUAAUAACAAGGCUGCAAUGGGAAUCAAAAGCUAUACGACAAUAGAGGAUAAGAGCUUGAACAUAUUCAGGAAGGGAUGGUCAGGUUCAGAGAACAUGUACAGAGAAAAGGGCUUGUCAAUGUGGAUGUUACUGAGACUAUCAUUCCAAAGUCUAGGCAUAGUUUACGGCGAUUUAGGGACUUCUCCAUUGUAUGUGUUCUACAAUACAUUCCCUGAUGGCAUUAAGGAUAGUUAAGAUGUGAUCGGGGCUCUUUCUUUGAUCAUUUACUCUCUUCUGCUUAUACCUCUCAUCAAGUAUGUGUUCAUUGUCUGCAAAGCUAAUGACAAUGGUCAAGCUAAUGACAUGCUAAAGUGAAGCUUAUUCCGAAUCAGCAACGCAGCGAUGAGGAUCUGACUACUUAUAGUCGAACUUUAGUCGCUGAAGGGUCUUUUGCUGCUAAAACAAAGAAGUGGUUGGAGAGUAAAGAAUCUAGGAAGACAGCUCUUCUCUUUGUUGUUCUUCUCGGGACGUGUAUGAUGAUUGGUGAUGGUGUCUUAACUCCAGCCAUCUCCGUUCUUUCAGCGACUAGUGGGAUCAAAGUCAGCAGCCCAAAGAUGAGCAGCGACAUUGUUGUGGUUAUGUCCAUUGUCAUUUUAACAGGCACUGAGGCUCUAUACACAGACAUUUCUUACUUCCCGUUACUAGCGAUACAGCUUCACCUUCUUUGUGUUUCCUUGUCUUCUUCUAUCGUACUGCGUAUCUCGUGAACAACAAGGAUCAUUACGAUGAUGCGUUGUAUGCAUCUAUCCCAAGGUUUUAAGCCUGCUGAUUUUGCAACAAACAAAAAAUAAUAAUCACAAUGCAAAGCGACAAAACUUGUGCUCAGACAAGAGAGAUGGUGAUGAAACGCGAAGGGAUGAAGCGGUACCGUGAUAUGCUCAUUUUCCGAAAGAACAUUCGUCGAGGUCGUUAUAGUUCUUAGCAUGGUUGUUUGAACAUGGAUUUUGGAGCAUCUUCUUCAGCCGUUCGUCGGGGCAGUGCUCAGUUUACACAAGAGAUCUCAUUUCAACCAUUGGAAGUCGUGACACAAGAGAUCUUACUCCAAAGUUAGAGAAAGCAGUUCCAUAUGCAGUAAUCCUGUUUUCAUAUUCAAUAUAAUAUAUUUGUAUAUAUAUAUGCCUUUAUGUAUAUGAUAUGAUGUGUACAAUCAUUUGAUUCAAAGAGGAUGGACAAUUCCCUCUAUCAUUUGUAAUCAAGCAAGUUGAAGUUAAUGAAAAAGUUGUGUUUCA